rnacentral:rRNA from 1 species
AGACCGAUAGCAAACAAGUACCGUGAGGGAAGAUUGAAAAGAACUUUGAAGAGAGAGUUCAAUAGUACGUGAAACUGUGUGGUGGUAAACGGAGGGGUUCUCGAAGUCUCUGCGGGGAACUCAACCUUGGUGCAGGGCGGUCUGGGCGUGUCCGAUCAGCGAUGACGGCGCGUUCUCUCCGGCUCGGCUCUCGGGUGCAUUUCCCCCGCAGUUUACGGCAGGAACCGUUUGGCUCGGACCGAAGGCCUCGGGUGAAGUUGUCGCUUUUGGCGGCAGCCCCGGGUGUCCUGGCUCCGCGCCCGACGGGUACGCGAGAGGACUCGUAUAGCGAGCAACGCUCUGUUGCGGUUCUCAUCUCUCUGCCGAGUAGGUCGGCGGCCCCUCCGACCCGUCUUGAAACACGGAC